rnacentral:rRNA from 1 species
UAUCCGGAUUUAUUGGGUUUAAAGGGAGCGUAGGCGGGUGCUUAAGUCAGUUGUGAAAGUUUGCGGCUCAACCGUAAAAUUGCAGUUGAUACUGGGCGCCUUGAGUGCAGCAUAGGUAGGCGGAAUUCGUGGUGUAGCGGUGAAAUGCUUAGAUAUCACGAAGAACUCCGAUUGCGAAGGCAGCUUACUGGACUGUAACUGACGCUGAUGCUCGAAAGUGUGGGUAUCAAACAGGAUUAGAUACCCUGGUAGUCCACACAGUAAACGAUGAAUACUCGCUGUUGGCGAUACACAGUCAGCGGCCAAGCGAAAGCAUUAAGUAUUCCACCUGGGGAGUACGCCGGCAACGGUGAAACUCAAAGGAAUUGACGGGGGCCCGCACAAGCGGAGGAACAUGUGGUUUAAUUCGAUGAUACGCGAGGAACCUUACCCGGGCUUAAAUUGCAGCGGAAUGUAGUGGAAACAUUACAGCCUUCGGGCCGCUGUGAAGGUGCUGCAUGGUUGUCGUCAGCUCGUGCCGUGAGGUGUCGGCUUAAGUGCCAUAACGAGCGCAACCCUUAUCUAUAGUUACUAUCAGGUCAUGCUGAGACUCUAUGGAGACUGCCGUCGUAAGAUGUGAGGAAGGUGGG